UACGUAGGGUGCGAGCGUUAAUCGGAUUUACUGGGCGUAAAGCGUGCGCAGGCGGCCCGUUAAGACAGGUGUGAAAUCCCUGGGCUCAACCUAGGAAUUGCGCUUGUGACUGGCGGGCUCGAGUACGGUAGAGGGGGGUGGAAUUCCUGGUGUAGCAGUGAAAUGCGUAGAGAUCAGGAGGAACACCGAUGGCGAAGGCGGCCUCCUGGGCCUGCACUGACGCUGAGGCGCGAAAGCGUGGGGAGCAAACAGG
rnacentral:rRNA from 1 species